rnacentral:rRNA from 1 species
GAUGAACGCUGGCGGCGUGCCUAAUACAUGCAAGUCGAGCGAACGGACGAGAAGCUUGCUUCUCUGAUGUUAGCGGCGGACGGGUGAGUAACACGUGGAUAACCUACCUAUAAGACUGGGAUAACUUCGGGAAACCGGAGCUAAUACCGGAUAAUAUUUUGAACCGCAUGGUUCAAAAGUGAAAGACGGUCUUGCUGUCACUUAUAGAUGGAUCCGCGCUGCAUUAGCUAGUUGGUAAGGUAACGGCUUACCAAGGCAACGAUGCAUAGCCGACCUGAGAGGGUGCUCGGCCACACUGGAACUGAGACACGGUCCCGACUCCUACGGGAGGCAGCAGUAGGGAAUCUUCCGCAAUGGGCGAAAGCCUGACGGAGCAACGCCGCGUGAGUGAUGAAGGUCUUCGGCUCGUAAAACUCUGUUAUUAGGGAAGAACAUAUGUGUAAGUAACUGUGCACAUCUUGACGGUACCUAAUCAGAAAGCCACGGCUAACUACGUG